CACGUAGGCACCAAGCGUUGUCCGGAUUUAUUGGGCGUAAAGAGCUCGUAGGCGGUUCGGUGAGUCGGGUGUGAAAACUCUGGGCUCAACUCAGAGACGCCACCCGAUACUGCUGUGACUUGAGUCUGGUAGGGGAGUGUGGAAUUCCCAGUGUAGCGGUGAAAUGCGCAGAUAUUGGGAGGAACACCAGUGGCGAAGGCGGCACUCUGGGCCAGUACUGACACUGAGGAGCGAAAGCGUGGGUAGCGAACAGG
rnacentral:rRNA from 1 species